rfam:Myotis lucifugus cont2.56064, whole genome shotgun sequence.
GGUGGGGGGGGGGGGGCCCUCAGCCUUCAUUGCAAGAGGGUGCAGGCCAGGCUGGGGGACCCCACCAGUGCACA